GCCGGCGGCCUCGGCUCGGCCCCCUCCCUCAGCUCCGGUGCGCGGCGGCCGACGAUCCGCGCGGCCUGGGCCUCGGCCCGCGCCACCGGCGCCCGCGCGGAGCGGCCCGGGGGCCCUCACGCAGGCCCAUGGCGGCGGCCGCGGCGGCGCUCUCGGGCGCGGGCACGCCACCCGCGGGCGGCGGGGCCGGGGGCGGCGGGGCCGGGGGCGGCGGGUCCCCGCCGGGCGGCUGGGCCGUGGCGCGCCUGGAGGGCCGCGAGUUCGAGUAUCUGAUGAAGAAGCGCUCGGUGACCAUCGGCCGCAACUCGUCGCAGGGCUCGGUGGACGUGAGCAUGGGCCACUCGAGCUUCAUCUCCCGGCGCCACCUCGAGAUCUUCACGCCCCCGGGCGGCGGCGGCGGCCAUGGCGGGGCCGCUCCGGAGCUGCCGCCCGCGCAGCCCAGGCCCGACGCCGGCGGCGAUUUCUACCUGCGCUGCCUGGGCAAGAACGGCGUAUUCGUGGACGGCGUGUUCCAGAGGCGCGGGGCGCCGCCGCUGCAGCUGCCGCGCGUGUGCACGUUCAGGUUCCCGAGCACAAACAUCAAGAUAACGUUCACUGCCCUGUCCAGCGAGAAGAGAGAGAAGCAGGAGGCGUCUGAGUCUCCAGUGAAGGCCGUACAGCCACACAUCUCGCCCCUGACCAUCAACAUUCCAGACACCAUGGCCCACCUCAUCAGCCCUCUGCCCUCCCCCACGGGAACCAUCAGCGCUGCAAACUCCUGCCCCUCCAGCCCCCGGGGAGCGGGGUCUUCAGGGUACAAGGUGGGCCGAGUGAUGCCAUCUGACCUCAGUUUAAUGGCUGACAACUCACAGCCUGAAAAUGAAAAGGAAGCUUCAGGUGGAGACAGCCCGAAGGAUGAUUCAAAGCCACCUUACUCCUAUGCACAACUGAUAGUCCAAGCAAUUACAAUGGCUCCUGACAAACAGCUCACCCUGAACGGAAUUUAUACACACAUCACUAAAAAUUAUCCCUACUAUAGGACUGCGGACAAGGGCUGGCAGAAUUCAAUUCGCCACAAUCUCUCUCUGAAUCGUUAUUUCAUCAAAGUGCCGCGUUCCCAGGAAGAACCAGGCAAAGGCUCAUUCUGGAGGAUAGACCCAGCCUCUGAAAGCAAAUUAAUAGAACAGGCUUUUAGGAAACGACGGCCUAGGGGCGUGCCCUGCUUUAGAACCCCUCUGGGACCGCUCUCUUCUAGGAGUGCCCCAGCCUCUCCCAAUCACGCUGGAGUGCUGUCUGCUCACUCUAGUGGCGCCCAGACCCCUGAGAGCCUGUCGAGGGAAGGUUCGCCGGCCCCCCUGGAGCCUGAGCCUGGCGCCGCACAGCCCAAACUCGCUGUCAUCCAGGAAGCCCGGUUUGCCCAGAGCGCCCCAGGGUCACCUCUGUCCAGCCAGCCAGUCUUAAUCACCGUCCAGCGGCAGCUACCACAGGCCAUCAAGCCUGUCACCUACACUGUGGCCACCCCAGUGACUGCCUCGACCGCCCAGCCACCUGUCGUGCAGACGGUUCACGUCGUCCACCAGAUCCCAGCGGUGUCGGUCAGCAGUGUGGCCGGACUGGCCCCAGCGAACACGUGCACUGUCUCUGGACAAGCUGUGGUCACCCCGGCAGCCGUGCCGGCCCCCCCUAAGGCAGAGCUCCAGGAGAACGGAGAACACAGGGAGGUCAGAGUGAAAGUAGAGCCUAUUCCCGCCAUUGGCCAUGCCACGCUCGGCACUGCCAGCCGGAUCAUUCAGACGGCACAGACUACCCCGGUCCAGACGGUGACCAUAGUACAACAGGCACCUCUAGGUCAACACCAGCUACCAAUAAAAACUGUAACACAAAACGGCACUCACGUGGCAUCAGUCCCCACCGCGGUCCACGGCCAGGUGAACAAUGGUAAGUCGUGCGGGUCGGUGGCUCCCCGCGGGUGUGGGCACUGGGAGCAGAGACCCUUCUCACUCGGGGUUUGGUUCUGAGUGACGAUUUUAACUUUCGUCUGAGGAAAUGUUUGCAUUUCGAAGCUGCAGGAAAUCUAGUAAUGCUGUAGGAAUGGUCGUGUAGCGGCCGUCAGGGGAUUCCCGUUGGAGACCUGCCUGAAAAGAGAUGAGAGUUUCUAAUACGUUGAGAGAGAAAAAUACUCUCGCCUCCUGUAGAUUGCCUGGGUGGGCCUGAAAUGGCUGUAGGCCGAGCCCAGCGAGCUCCGCUGUGGAGCCGCCACCUGUCUUUUCACUUGGGUCGCGCGCCCUGUGGCGGUGCCGUGCGCUGAGGGUGGGAGAGGGGCUGCUUUUCUGUGCGCUUUGCUCUCGAAGUCCGUCGGAGGCCGUGCACAGAAAACCGCACGGAUGUUCUGACAUUGACAAGCGGAGACACCAGAACCUCCACGCCGACACCAGGUUAUCUGCCUUCGCCCUGCCCUGGGGAGUGUGGAACGGGUGGGAGUCCCUGCCGGCUGCCGAGUCAACGCUGCUGUUGGGGCCUGGCUCAGGUGUGGGCUCCCGCUGCUCUGGGUUGGGUCCGUGCGGGCUGUUGGAGGCCGCGUGGCUGAUCCUGGCGCUUGCAGGAUCUCAAGCAGGCAGAUCCGAAGCUACCAACUAAAACCGUCUCUGUGCCAACCACACGCUUUCUUUGAAAGAGGGUCCAGGUCAGAAGGCUUGAUCACGACGCUUGAAUCCUUACCGAACGCUACGAACAGAGACCUUGAAACCUGCAGUGUACUGCUGGACUCCAAAUACUGACAUCAUGAGAUGUCCACUUGCCCACGUGUGGACACACAGGCAGGAGUGGCCCAGAUCCUCCCUCGUCUUUCCAUCUCACAUUCCCCAACAGGUUUUGUAUGAGUCACAUACUUUAGGCUUAAAUGUCAUUUAUUAGUCAUAUCUUUUCUCUGCAGCAAUAAAAUAUAGAUAUAAAUAUUAAAGUUUAAUUUGUCUAUGAAUAACAAAAUUGAUAAAACCCAAAAAUAUAACAAAUUCUUAUAAAACCAAAAAUUAAAAUAUUACUGAAGAUGCCUUUCUUAGUGUAUUUAGCUUUAAAGGAAACCACCUGAUUCGUUCUGUAUUCACUGAUGGUUGCACAGUCCUAGUGUCAGCACUGAGGACCUGCUUCCACUCAGGAAGGAGAGGACAGUGUCAGCACUGAGGACCUGCUUCCACUCAGGAAGGAGAGGACAGUGUCAGCACUGAGGACCUGCUUCCACUCAGGAAGGAGAGGACAGUGUCAGCACUGAGGGCCUGUUUCCACUCAGGAAGGAGAGGACAGUGUCAGCACUGAGGACCUGCUUCCACUCAGGAAGGAGAGGACAGUGUCAGCACUGAGGACCUGCUUCCACUCAGGAAGGAGAGGACAGUGUCAGCACUGAGGACCUGCUUCCACUCAGGAAGGAGAGGACAGUGUCAGCACUGAGGACCUGCUUCCACUCAGGAAGGAGAGGACAGUGUCAGCACUGAGGACCUGCUUCCACUCAGGAAGGAGAGGACAGUGUCAGCACUGAGGACCUGCUUCCACUCAGGAAGGGAGAGGACAGUGUCAGCACUGAGGACCUGCUUCCACUCAGGAAGGAGAGGACAGUGUCAGCACUGAGGACCUGCUUCCACUCAGGAAGGAGAGGACAGUGUCAGCACUGAGGGCCUGUUUCCACUCAGGAAGGAGAGGACAGUGUCAGCACUGAGGACCUGCUUCCACUCAGGAAGGAGAGGACAGCGUCAGCACUGAGGACCUGCUUCCACUCAGGAAGGAGAGGACAGCGUCAGCACUGAGGGCCUGUUUCCACUCAGGAAGGAGAGGACAGUGUCAGCACUGAGGGCCUGCUUCCACUCAGGAAGGAGAGGACAGUGUCAGCACUGAGGACCUGCUUCCACUCAGGAAGGAGAGGACAGUGUCAGCACUGAGGACCUGCUUCCACUCAGGAAGGAGAGGACAGUGUCAGCACUGAGGACCUGCUUCCACUCAGGAAGGAGAGGACAGUGUCAGCACUGAGGACCUGCUUCCACUCAGGAAGGAGAGGACAGUGUCAGCACUGAGGACCUGCUUCCACUCAGGAAGGAGAGGACAGUGUCAGCACUGAGGACCUGCUUCCACUCAGGAAGGGAGAGGACAGUGUCAGCACUGAGGACCUGCUUCCACUCAGGAAGGAGAGGACAGUGUCAGCACUGAGGACCUGCUUCCACUCAGGAAGGAGAGGACAGUGUCAGCACUGAGGACCUGCUUCCACUCAGGAAGGAGAGGACAGUGUCAGCACUGAGGACCUGCUUCCACUCAGGAAGGGAGAGGACAGUGUCAGCACUGAGGGCCUGUUUCCACUCAGGAAGGGAGAGGGCAGUGUCAGCGCUGAGGGCCUGUUUCCACUCAGGAAGGGAGAGGACAGUGUCAGCACUGAGGGCCUGUUUCCAGAUGAACCUGAAAGUCUGUCGGUCAUCUUGGCUGGGUGUGGUGGCUCACGCCUGUAAUCCCAGCACUUUGGGAGGCUGAGGCAGGCGGAUCACUUGAGAUCAGGAGUUGGAGACCAGCCUGGCCAACAUGGUGAAACUCUGUCUCUACUAAAACUACAAAGAUUAGCCAGGUGUGGUGGCGCAUUCCUGUAAUCCCUGCUACUCUGGAAGCUGAGGCAGGAGAAUCGCUUGAACCUGGGAGAUGAAGGUUGCAGUGAGCCGAGGUCACACCACUGCACUCCAGCCUGGGCAACAGAGCGAGACUCCAUCUCAAAAAAAAAAAAAAAAAAAAAAAAAGUCUUGUCAGCACCAGUAUUUUCUAUUAUUGCUUUCAUGCUCCAUCCCAUAGUUUUCAUCCCCAAAGCCAGUGCCCAAUUGAGCAGAUGAGAGAGGCUGUUGAGAGAGAGGAGGUGGCAGAUGGGCUUUAAGAAAGACUUCAGGACCAAGAGGAGAUUCUGGAAAUGAUUUUCCUUAAAACAGUGUCGGCUACAGCCUGGAUGCUGAACACCUAGGAUGAGAACCACUGCACAGGUGCUCAUAACUUUGGCCUCUUGCAGUCUUUUUUUUUUUUUUUUUUUAAGAGGUAGUGUCUCACCAUGUUGCCCAUGCUGGGCUCAAGCUCCGGGGCUCAAGCAGUCUGCCCACCUCAGCCUCCCAAAGCGCUGAGAUUACAGGAUGAGCCACUGCCUCUGGCCAGCACGUCUUUUCGUGUACUUUAUAGUUAUUUGUAUAUCUUGUUUGAAGAAAAUUUUUUUAAGUCCUUUGCCCAUCAUUUAAUUGGGUUGUCUUUUUGUUGUGAAAUUUGUAGUUCUUUAUUCAUAUGUAGAGAUUUCAGGCCUUUUCAGACAUGUAGGUGUACCUCAGAGACAUUGCAGCGUUGGUUCCAGACCACUGCAAAAAAAUGAAUAUUGCAGUAGAGCUGCCAGUCACAUGAAAUUUUUGGGUUCCUACUAUAUUAAGCAAUUAUGUUUAUACUAUAUUGUAGUGUAGUAUAUUACCCCAAGGUAAAUUUAGUAUUUUUACUGAGGAAUUAUGUGGAUGUGGCCGAGUUUUCUGGCCCAAGCAUGGGGUUAGAAUGUUGUGUGCAGGGAGGGACUGCACAGGCUGCCUGAGACUCCCCCAGGGGCACCAGAGGGCUCAGCACCACGGGCAGAGAGGCCGAGGCUGGGCUGCCUGCCCUAAGGGGGUUCCGUCCUCACCCUGGCCCGGUUCUGCCUCUGCCACCAGCUGCUAUGGGACCCGGGGCUCAGGACUUGGCCUCUGCGUAUGUCGUGAAGACAGUGCUGACAGAUGGGAGGUGGGGCUGACAGGACGAGGGGUCAGGAUGUUCCGGCUAUGCACUGUAGCCCUGGCCUUGCAGGACAGCAGGUGACUUGGUGGGAUGAUAGGUGAGUUCCGUGGGCAGGCGCAGGGCAUGAGCUGCCAGUGUCUUCCUGGAAGGUGACUCUGGGGUUGUCGCUCCAGCUGGAGUGUGCCCUCAUUCCUGCUUCCAUAGGGGUCUCCACGGAGGCCUCAUUCAAACACAGGCGAGCCCAUCCCUGGCCUGUCAGGUUCACCAGGGCGGCCCCUGGUCCCGUUGUCACCGUCGUCCACACCCUGCCCACCUGCCAGUGCUCUGGUGUCCCCUGCUCUGCUCCAGGGCCUCAAACCCCGUGCAGAGCUGGGGUGCAUCAUGCUGCCGCCCCAUGGAGAAGGCCUGGAGAAGAUGGAAGCCGGGAGGCUUCCUCUUACUAACAGGAAGGGAAGCCCCAGAAAUGUGCCUGGCACCCAGAAACUGCUCCAAGCUUGUUCCAGAGUGUGGGGAGGGCUUGAGGCCUCCCCUUUUUGAGUACAUGGAAAGGAAAGCCUGGCAUUUUCUGGAAACGCUCCCAAGUCACCCUGGCAGGGAGAUGUGGGAAGAGUCCAGGCACCCAAGCUCAUGCAUAUUCACUUCCUCCCAUCACAUGUGCUGUGUACAAGCACCCUCAGCUCGCUUUGGGGGACCCCUGCCUCAGGGCUGCGGUGCCACUGUCCACACCACAGGCCCUUCUGCUUCUUGUUUCCAAGGCUCACCUCCUGUCUCUGGGCUGCAGGCGCUGUUUCUGGUUUACUGGCACAACUGUGGUUGUGUUUUUGUUAAUGACUUCAUCUUUGCUGCUGCUGUUUUGAGAUAUUGUCUUGCUCUGUCACCCAGGCUGGAGGGCAGUGCCGAGAUCUCAACUCACUGCAGCCCCGACCUACUGGUCUCGAGCUAUCCUCCUGCCUCAGCCUCCCAAGUAGCUGGGACUACAGGUGUGCAACACCACAUCCAGCUAAUUUUUUGUAGAGACGGGGGUCUCACUAUGUUGCCCAGGCUGGUUUCAAACUCCUGGACUCCGGUGAUCCUCUAGCCUUGGCCUCCCAAAGUGCUGGGAUUACAGGCGCGAACCACCAUGCCCGGCCAGUGUUGUCGUUUUGAUUUGGGAGUUCAGGGCUGAACUGUGUUUGGCCAGGGCCUCGCCUGCUCAGUGUGGUCCUGGGCUGAGCUGUGUUUGUGUUUGGCCGGGGCCUCGCCUGCUCAGUGUGGCCUGGGCUGAGCUGCGGUUCUGGAGCAUGUCUUGGCUCACACAUUGACUCCUCCGGCCUCUCUACCGUCCUGGUCCUUCGUGGGGCUCACAUGUGUGUCCUCUUGUUUUCUUUCUGUCACCUUCUUAAGGGUUCACAGAUCACUGUCAGUGGAAGGUGUUGCCACAGCUCAAGCCUCACACAGUGGAGGAACCUCAUGAGGCCCUUCACGGGGCCACUCCCUGUCUGGCCAGGCCUGCCUGACCAGCCCGGCUGCUGCUGCUUCACCCUGCGACGUUCUCCUCAGGCCUUGCCUUUCGCUUCUUUGGUUAACAUUGUUCCCGCCUUGAUCGUUUGCUCCCUCCUGCCUAACUCUGCUCUUCUUCGUUGUGUAGCAGUUACGUGGUCCUCAAAUAUCAUUUGUUGACUCCAGUGUUCCCUGGGGCAUCUCCUCAAGCUGGCCGGGGUUGUCUGCAUCUCAGCGGUGGCCCCUGGUGUGAGGGCGCACACUUUGCAGUGAGAGUGAAAUGCCCAGUUCGCGCUGGCAGAGGCAGACCCCGUGAAGGUCUCCCUGUGCCAGGCACAGGCUCUUAUUCUGAAAGGGUAUGCAGCAGUUUCUGGAAGGAAGGAAUGAAGGAGGGAGGGAGGGAAAGAGGAAGGAAGGAAAGGAGAGCGAUAGGCACAGAGGAAGGUAGAUGAAGCCCCGCGCUCCCCAGAGCCCAGCCCUGGUCACCGCGUGCUGUGUGGGUGCCUGUGCCAGGAUCAGCUGGCUGGACGGCUAUGGCCCCACACCUGCAGGCCACGUACCUGGGAGAGUGUGGGCCUUCAGAGCCUUCUGGCUCCCGGCCCCACAGAGGAAUUACGGUCCCGUGUCCCUCACAAGGACCCUUGCAGUGGGAGCAGUGCAUCGGCACAGAGCAGGACACAGGGGAGCCGGGCUGAGGCUGCGGGUCCUUUGUGGCCGCCAGGUGCUCACACGUGCCUCGGUGGGGAUCUGGCAGCCAGAUUUGGGGUGAAGAUUUGAUGAUGUGGGUAUCCCUAGCUGGUCCCACAGUGACGAUGGGUGUUGCGUUGUGAGCAUGUAAAACAGCAGUGACGUCUGAGGGUCCCUGGACGUCUUUCACACCCAGUCUCAAAGCGGAGCCUUUCCAGGCAGAGCAGCAGCUGCCGCCACUGGAUUGACAGCCCCAGAGCAGCGGGAUCAGGCCAUGAGGACGAGGAGGUGCGAGGCCUUGGGUCAGGGCCUGUGUUCUGCGGGAGCCACACCCAUCAUCACCGUGGCGGUGGCAGUGGAGCAGCUGCCCUCGUGUCUGAGCUGCUUCGGCGUCUCUGUCCACAGUAUAGGGUCUUCUGAUGCUUCCUGGAGGUCUUGGAGGGGCUUGCUACCUGUAGUGUCCACACAGCCCACAACUGAGGUGUUGUCAAGUGUUAUGACAUAGGCUGCCUGUGGGGUAAAAGUUGGCUGCUAAGAAAUGCUCUAGACAGGCCGGGCACAGUGGCUCAUGCCUAUAAUCCCAGGACUUUGGGAGGCCGAGGUGGGUCAUGAGGUCAGGAGAUCGAGACCAUCCUGGCUAACAUGGUGAAACCCCGUCUCACUAAAAAUACAAAAAAUUAGCUAGGCGUGGUGGCGGGCGCCUGUAGUCCCAGCUACUCAGGAGGCUGAGGCAGGAGAAUGGUGUGAACCCGGGAGGCGGAGCUUGCAGUGAACUGAGAUCUCGCCACUGCACUCCAGCCUGGGCGACAGAGUGAGGCUGUCUCAAAAAAAAAAAAAAAAAAGAAAAAAAAAAUGCUCCGGACACUUCAGUUUGAAAAUAUUGGAAUUUAUGUGGGGAGGAUUCGUGUGCAUGGAAGGCCAAAAAUGUGAAUGCAUCUCCGCAAUCUUCUUUCCAAAAGCCACCCUCUGAAUCAGUGAGGACCCUCAGGGUGGGGAACGUCCCCUUGUGAGCAUCUGGAGAUUGGAGUAGGCAGCAGCUGAGCCCGCUGGCUGCUUUGCCACAAAUCCUGAACGUCUCUGUAGAUAGACUUGCAGAGGAACUUAGUUCUUCCCCUAAAGGAAUAGAAACAGUUGGGCACUGUGGCUCACGCCUGUAAUCCCAGCACUUUGGGAGACCAGGGUGGGCGGAUUGCUUGUGCCCAGGAGUUCAAGACCAGCCUGGGCAACAUGGUGAAUCUCUGUGUCUACAAAAAAUCACAAAAAAUCACAAAAGUGGCUGUGGUGGCGGCACCUGUAGUCCCAGCAGAACACAGAGCAAGCCUGUCUACGAGUUCAGCCGGUGAGGUGCAGGGGCUGGUGAAGACGGCUGCGCUUCUGCGUGUGCUCAGAGGCAGGGUCGCCUCCAGGCCCCAUGCGCUAAGCCGUGACUCCCUGUGCCACGCCCGUGUCCACGCAGCUCACGUGGGCCCGAGGUGCUCAUACAUCACACUCCUUGUCCAGGAUGGUCCUUCCUGGCACCAUGUGGUCCUCAGCGCAAACCAGAGUUUGCAGUGCUCGCUGGAUGGACCCUUCUGCGUUAUUUAGCAUUUUUAGAUUAACAGAGCUCAGUGCCUUCCCAAGAGAGCACAUGUGGGCCUCAUUGGGAGCAUCUGCCCAACUCGUGUGCGUGUUCCUUCUCUGCCCUGGAGCAGAGGGGUCGCCCUCUCUUGUGGCCCACCCCGGGGCUGCAGGGCUGAUGGCUGCUCCCUCCCCAGCUCUGGCGCCUCCAGGGCUCUGCUGCCUUUAGCCUUCCUUGUGUGCUCUCCACCUCCCUCAGCGCCUCUGCUGAGACCUCUGUCUUCAGGGCCGGGCGUGUUAGCACAGCCCCUCUGCUGUUACAGGGGUCCAUGUGGGGUCUCCACGUGGUGGGGAUGCCUCGCGACAGAGGCUCUGUGAGGGCAGGGCUGGAUGGAUGAGAGUAUUUAAGUGUCACCAUUUCUUUUCUUUCUUUUUUUUUUUUUUUUUUUUGAGACAGAGUUUUGCUUUUGUUGCCCAGGCUGGAAUGCAGUGGCAUGACCUUGGCUCACCGCAACCUCUGCCUCCUGGGUUCAAGCAAUUCUCCUGCCUCAGCCUCCUGAGUAACUAAGAUUACAGGCGCCUGCCACCACACCUGGCUUAAUUUUGUAUUUUUAGUAGAGACAGGGUUGCACCACGUUGGCCAGGCUGGUCUCAAACUCCUGACCUCAGGUGAUCUGCCCACCUCGGCCUCCCAAAGUGCUGGGAUGACAGGUGUGAGCCACCGUGCCCGGCCUCCCAGUUUCUUUUCACUCCAGGCUUCUCACUGCUGUUCUCUAAUUGACACAGAAUAAUUGUGCAUGUGUGUGGGGCGCACAGUGAUGUGGGAAGCACGUGGCUUGUGAUGGGCACAUCCGUCGUCUCAUUCACCAUUUCUAAGUGUGGGACCUUCUGGCUGUUUGAAACCGUAUCAUUGACUGUCAUCAUCUUGCAGUGCUGCAGAACACUGAACUUGUUCCUCCUGUCUAGUUGUCGUUUCUAGUUUUAUGUCUUUUUAAAAAUUAUUUAUUUUUUAUAGAGACGGGGUCUUGCUAUGUUGUCCAGGCUGGUCUCAGCCUCCUGGCCUCAAGGGACCCACCUGCCUCAGCCUCCCUUGGGAUUGCAGGCGUGGGCCACUGUGCCUGGCCUACACCACUUGUAUUCUCUGGGUCAUCUGGUCAACUUGAGUCCUGGUGAGGGUGAGGCUCUUCUGUUGGGUGACUCAGCCAUGUUGUGCUGCCGUAACAGAACACCCAAGAUGGAGUACUUUAUCAUGAACAGAAACGGAUUGGCUUGCAGUUCCGGAGGCUGGCAAGGGCCUUCUUCCCGUGUGCUCAUGUGGUGAUGGGGCGAAGGCAUAUUCACCCUUUUAUAAUGAACUCACUCCUGGAAUCAUGAACCUGUCCCUUGGUGACAGCAUUAAGCUAUUAGUGAGGGCAAAGCCUUCAUGGUCAGGUCACCUUCUGAAGAUGCCACCUCUUCAUUAGGCUGCGUGGCAAGUGAGUUUCAGCAUUUCAAGAGACCAGUGUCCACACCGCAGCAGCGACCUCGUCUCCUUCAGGGUAUGGUGCUUGUCAGACAUUGGCUGUGACUCGCGUCUGGGUGCCUCUCUCUGUGGGGGCCACCCUGCCGUCAGGUGCCAGGAAACCGACAUCAGGGAACGUGGGGGUCUCCCUGAGAGGGUGCCGACCUAACACAGCUCCUCCGGGUCACGUGGGUGGGCUCAGCGGCCUCCUGUGCCUCCCCUAGGCCUGGAGUCUCCCCUGCCCUCUCGUUGGGCUCCAAGCCUCUUCCUCAGCCCAGCUUCCUGCUUUGUGGCAGCUGUGCUUUCUGGAAGCUGAGCAGCUUUUUUUUUUUUUUUUUUUGAGACGGAGUUUCUUUGUCACCCACGAUCUCAGUUCACUGCAACCUCCGCCUCCCGGGUUCAAGUGAUUCUCCUGCCUCAGCCUCCCGAGUAGUUGGGACUGUAGGCCCCCACCACCUCGCCCGGCUAAUGUUUUUGUAUUUUUAGUAGAGAUGGUGUUUCACCAUGCUGGCCAGUUCGAGGCUGGUCUUGAACUCGUAACCUGAGGUGAUCCUCCCGCCUCAGCCUUCCAAAGUGCUGGGAUUACAGGCGUGAGCCACCGCACCUGGCCUCUUGUUCAUGUUUUAUGUGUAAAUUCAUCCUCUGCUAUUUCUGUUGCUCAGAGGUGGAAAGGAGAAGGGAACAUGAUGAAGUCACACAUCCACACUGUUGACAGGAGUUUGGCUUCCAGGGAACACACCUCUGUGGCCUCAGGGCCGUGUCCUGAAUUCCAAAACGGGGCUCUCACGGCCGACCCGAUGUCACUGGGUCCCUGUUUGCUGCUUGAGUCUCUUCGGAGCCCAGUGUUGGCUCCCACUCUUCGUGGCUGCCCCAGCUAUCUGGCCAUGAGGAGUUGACCACGCAUCUGGCCGAACUCACAUCUGCUCCCCUGGGGAAGAGCUGGGGGCGGAGGUCGGUCCCUGACCAGCCAGCGUCCCUGAGGGGACUGCGAGUAGGAGGCGGGUAUUGCCCACGCCAGGGCCUGUGGUCUGAGAGGGCCCUUGACGGACAGGUGAGCAAGUCCCCCUCCCACAUCUCUAGGCACCAGGGCGGAGCGUACCAUGUGUGCUGUGUUUGUGGUUGGGUUCAGGUACUGUCCUGUAGGCGUGUCUGCUCUGAGCCUCCUGGGACAGCCUGAAGGGGUUGCUGCACAGCUGGGUUGGGGCCUCCCUGGGGGUGUGUGCCUGCUCCCACCCUGGGGUGCUCUGAGUUGGUCUGAGGUUAGAGAAGUGCAGUGGCUGGUGUGUGCGCAGCCUAGGGGCCUAGGGCCUGCUUCUCAGAGCAUCACGGGGCCCACCAAGAAGUGCCCCCUGGGGAGGUAACGGCGUCUUCCAGAAAUGCCGCCGCCCACGAAGAGGACUGGCCUGUGCCAGAAGCUGGAGAUGGUGGGGUUCGAUUGGCACCUGGGGGGUGAGGGUGCCCCAGAGAAACAGAGCCAAGGCGGCAGCCUGGAGAGAUUCUGUGGAAUCUGCCCACUCUGUUGUGAGGCCUGCCAAGCUCAGCAUCUGCAGGGUGGACCGAGCCCCAGGGAAAGAGUCAGUGCUGGAUUCUCAAGAGUCCAGAGGCCAUCCAGGGCAGAGUGCUCCCCUCAGAGGACCUCAGUCUUUUCUUAGUCCUUCACCUGAUUGGAUGAGGCCCACCCACUCAUGGCGAUCAACUGAUUUACUCAGAGCUGACUGAUUUAAAUGUUAAUCUCAUCUAAAGAAGUAACUAUACAGAAACAUCCAGAGUAAUGGUUGACCAAAAUCUGGGCACUGUGGCUCAGCCAGGCUGGCACAUAACAUUACCCAUCGCAUGUUAGUUGGAAGCUUGGCCUUUGGAAUUAACUCAGCCUGGUCACCCAUUAGCAGCCAGCAGUCUCUGUUCUGCCCACACACCUCUGUGGACUGACCCAGGACACAGGUGAGCAGCAUCCAUGGGAAACUGCGGUGCUUCUCUCCUAUGGGACAGGUGGAGCCCUGCUCCCUUCUGUGUGGAAAUGGUCCAGGAGCAUCUUGUGUGGGUGGGGGGGCGAGGGCAGGGCCUCCGCAUGAGGGAGAGCAGCGAGCGGCAGCCAAUCCUUCGAGGAGCCAGCAGGGCCAUCUCCUGUCUGCCUCAACCAUUACUGGACUCAGCCUUUCUCCCCCAGCAGUGACAUCAAAAUAGCCUAUUUAUAGGACAUAACAAAGAUGAUGCCAGCUGUUAAUAAAAAUGUCUGCUAAUCAGCCCAGGCUCCUGUGCCCUUGGCCACUGUGGGCCAGUCCCUGGGGUCUUGUGGGAGCCUCCGCGGGCCCGGGAGUGGCAGGACCCUUAGAGGGCGAGGGUUCAUGUGAGAGCGUGGGGUUCUGACUCCCUCGUGUCA